CUUCAACAUGAUGGCUGGUCAGGUCCUCCUGGGAGUUUCCCUCUUUGCCUUGCUUGUUCUGAAUGCUCAUGGUGUUCCUGUCAAAGGUA